UUAAGUCUGUUUUGGUGAGCCCAGAGGGAAAAUCUGGCGUUUUAAAAGCAGCCUACUUUUAAAGUAGCUAGGUAACGGUAGACUACAGAGGAAGUGUGAUAUUUUUAUAUCUGUUUCGGAGUGACAGAGGGAAAAUAUUUCAGUCGACACAUUAAGUGGAACCAAAAUGAGGAACCAAAAUAGGCGUUCUAAUCCGGUCCGAUUCCUACCGGUUUUGGUACCCGACCCUAG